CUUUAGGAACAUUAUUACAAUGCAGAAGAUAAGCCUGGUUAUCUGGCAUGGAGACUGAAGUUUGUUCAAAAGGAAGCAUCAGAGGUACAAAAGAAGACACUCUAUCCGUCAAUAACAGGUGGUCCAAAAGCUCAAAGAAACGCCUUCAGAGAGGAAAACUUUCAGUCUUCUGAAAUAUUCACAGUAUUUCCACAAUUUUUAGAAAUAGGAGGAAUGAUUGAGCAGGACUUCAGUCUGGUGUUUGGUGAUGCUGCCUCUGCAAAGUUUCUGGAGAAGUGGCCAGCUGUUUAUAAGCAGAAGAUUCUUGAGCAAAGCCUUGGUCUCACACAGACUGCUGGCCUUCAAAAUGCUGAAUCCAUGACAGAAAUGGAAAAUGGGUGGGACAGUGACAUGUCAUCCAUUUUUAUCCUUGUCCACCUUCUGCCACCAUCACCUCAUGGUCGCAAGAGACCAGGAAAGCUCUCAGCCAGACAAGCC